rnacentral:lncRNA from 1 species
AAAAAAGGACCUUUAAAAUUAUGAACUUCGCACACUCUUAUUCUGUUAGAAGAGCCGAAACAAUUUUUACCAGUCAGGAGGACACAUCUUUGUGCUUGGGCUGUGCUUUGGAUCUUCCACAAGAAACUCACCCUAGCAGAUCUUACCAAUGCUUUAAACUCUAAAGCAUCAGGGCAGGGAAUGAAUUAAACAAUUAAAAUUCAAGCCAUCAAAAAAAAAUUAAGUCAUUGUCUGCUGAUCUCUAAGAUAAAUGCGUGCCACACGUUUGGAACUAUUUUCUUUGCGAAGGAAUACGUCAAAUGGAAUUCCAUAUGUUCAAUCUGUGUUCAUACCCUGACCAUGAGUCUGUAAAUCUAGGGAUGUUACAAUAUGUUAAAAAUGCAAUUCCCAGAGGCUACCCUGAA